AUUGAACGCUGGCGGCAGGCCUAACACAUGCAAGUCGAGCGAGCGGCGGACGGGUGAGUAAUGUCUGGGAAACUGCCUGAUGGAGGGGGAUAACUACUGGAAACGGUAGCUAAUACCGCAUACCAUCAGAUGUGCCCAGAUGGGAUGGGCUAGUAGGUGGGGGAACGGCUCACCUAGGCGACGAUCCCUAGCUGGUCUGGGAGGAUGACCGGCAACACUGGAAUUGAGACACGGGCCAGACUCCUACGGUAGGUAGCAGUGGGGAAUAUUGCACAAUGGGCGCAAGCCUGAUGCAGCCAUGCCGCGUGUGUGAAGAAGGCCUUCGGGUUGUAAAGCACUUUCAGCGGGGAGGCGUUACCCGCAGAAGAAGCACGGGCUAACUCCGUGCCAGCAGCCGCGGUAAUAC
rnacentral:rRNA from 1 species